GCAGACCCGCGCCUCCAGCGCCUCCUGCGCGGCCCGCGCUCCCCCGGGCCUGCCUGCGCCUCGGUCCCCAGUUCUGGCUCUUUCCUCUCACUUGGCCGCUCGGCCUGCCUCACUCCCGCUUGUUUGCUCUCCUCCGUUUCUCUCCUGUCUGUGUCUCUGUGCGUCUCUGCACCCUUCCGUGGGUUGAGUCUCUCCUUUUCUCGGUCUCUAGUUCUAGUUCUCCUUCCCUCCCUCUGACUCCCAGUUGCCUUCUGUCUCCACCGCAGCCCUCAUUCUCUCUCUCACUUCCCCUUGCUGUCCCCGGCACCCUGUCCCUCCGUCCAUGGUCCAUGGCUCCGGCCUCCUCCCCUCACACCCUGUAUCUCUCCUGUCCCUCCCUGGCGCUGCCCAUCUCGUGCUCACCGUCUCUCACCCUCCACCCCUGGCCAAGGCACCCCCAGGGCCAGCCAGGCCCCCUAGACCUGGCCUUGAUCUGCGCCUCAUGCCCCAGUCCCAUAAAAGGGGUUUACAAGUGGAGGGACUGCAGGACCAGUGCUCAGGGCUCAGACACAGAAGUCAGGAAAACGGAGAGAGGACAUGGCUCUGGCACCUGCCAGCUCACAGGGGCAGAGCUACAGAGUUUGAAAGCCAGUCUUUCAAACGGGGUCUCCCAGGAGGCCCUCAGCUGCCACAUGGUGCCUGGUGGCUGGCACUCUGAGAAUGGUCUCACCUCACUUUCCACUUUCCCACCUGACAAGGAAGGAAGGACCAGGGGCAUGUGCGCCAUGGGGCAGGCAGAGAAGGCUGGGCCUGCAGCCGCCCCACUUCCUUUACCCACGACGCCCUCCUCUUCCUGCCCUCCGUCCUGCCGGUUCCUACCCCUCAUCCCUGGGUCUGGCCAGGGCUUUGAUGGCCAGGGGUGCUCAGCUGCAGGAAAUUGGAGGCCUGCUUCCUGGUGCCCCAUCCACCCAGGCCCAGGGCUGCUCAGGGGACUGUCCGAUAGGACUCAUGUCCCUGCCUCCAUCUCCAGCUCAUCUUGCCACAUCCUGCAGCUCCCCCCACCGAGCCUUGAGGAUACUGCUCUGUGUCAGCUCAACUCAGACCUGCACGUGGCUGGUUCUGGGCACUGGGGACACAAACUCCCUGCCAAGCUGAACAGGCAGGCUCGGGAGCUGCCUCCGGCUAGGGACCUUUGGGGUCAGUUGCUUUCAGGUUUGACAAGUGGGACUGGUUUUCCAGUACAACAAAGGUGUGAAGCUCCCUCCAUCAGUGCAUUUAAUGAAGGCUUAAAAAUGUACAUUAAAGGCAAAUAUGAGAUAGGUCAUAAUCCAGGUGGUAUAAAAAUGCCCGGAAUUUGGGAAAGUUGGGAAGUGUUGAAGGUUUCCCAAAUUUCCAGGCAGGGGCAGGUCCUUGGUGCGAACGCCCAGUGGUCAGUGGCUAGGCGGGCCCAGGGAGGGUGGGCCUGGGCUCCCCACCCCGCCCCGUCCUGUCUCAGGCUCUGCUGCCCAGGCAGAGCUGGGAGGAGGAGGAGGAAAUGUUUUUCUUCUUCAAUUGGAAAAAACAACAGUGGGGCCAGGGCUGCACUGGGAGGAAGGGGCUCCUGCCCCCCCCAGCCUGGGCCUGGCCUCGAGCACGUUUGCCCUGCAGGAAAUGCUGCUGAUGGCUGCCUCCUUGAGCACUGCCUUAUCGCAAGGAAGGUGCUGGAAACAGCUUAGCAGGCCAGCCACCGGCCUGGUUAGUGCCAGGAGCUGUCACUGCAGCUCUGGGCUUGACCCUCAUUUCCCCUGGGAGCAACCCUGAGAGGCAGGUUUUGGAGUUGAGACACCUGAGUUCCUGGCCCAGCUCUGACCCUAUCCUUCUGCAUGACCACGUGGCACCACUGCUCCUUUAUGCCUCAGUUUCCAUAUCUGGAAAAGGGGAACAUACUCCAUCUCCUGGGGCUGCUGUGCUGGUGGAGACAGCCACGCGUCACAGUGCCGGCGCGUCAUGGAUGUGGUAGCUGCUGACCCUCCGGCUCUGGAACCGGGGGCUCCUCUCCCCAGACUCCCUGAGAGGAGCCAUGUGGGCUCCAGACUCGCUCAUCCGGACCCCAGGACAGCCCCCCCGCCAGGCCGCCUUCCGGGACCUCCUCCUCGGACUCCCAUGGAGCCCCAAACUCCCUACCUCCAAGCACCCACACCAGGUGACAAUUUCUCUGUUGCUCCAGCUUCUCUGCCAACCAGGGGGCGCCUCAAGAGCUAGAACUUUUGGAGGCACACCCGUGUCCCUGAUGUCACCAGGCAGGUCUCGCAGGGCCUUGCGGGCCACUGUGAGGACUUGAGUGUUUGCCCUCGUGAGGGGCAGGGGGGAGGGUGCCGGGCAGAGGAGGGGUGUUCUCCAGGUGCGGGUGGAGUGGGUGCCGUGCGGGAGUGUCGGAGGCAGGGAGAGCCCUGCAGACGGCACGGGCAGUGAGGGUGGCGGGGAGAAGGAUCCUCCCUCUCACCAGCAAGUCCUAGGGCUUCAGUGGUGGCAGCACAUUGAGGCCAAGGCCAGCAGAGGACCCAGGCCUGUGACUCCCAGUGUCCUCCCUGACCUUGUCUAACUCGUAGGUGGGGUGCCGUGCCCGCAGCCUGCCUCCUGAGUGUGUGUCCCCUGAGCGUUCAUGGGAGGGAAUGGUGCCAGUGGCAGGCCAGAGGCUCAGGUGUCCUAAACCAAGGUGAGUAUCCCCACCCACACAGCUGCCUGAGGCCACCCCUGCAGGUGCUGCCAGAAGCCCUUGUCCCUUCCUGCCCCCAUCAGGGUCAGGAAAAGGUCACCUCCCAUCACCCCCAUCAGUCUGUCUCCUCUAGCCCCCAGAAGCCAGCACUAGUCCGAGCUCCAACCCCUCUCUACUUGGGGCCCCUCCUGCUCCCUCUCCCUGCUGCCCUCCUCCCUUCUCCCCAAAUCUCUUUUCCUGAGGGAUAUUUGCAAAUUGCAUAUCUGUUAGUGCUGUUUUUCUACAACUUCAAACCCUGUAAAAGCUGCCUGGGUUAAGCGCUGUCCCCCUUCCUGGGUCCACGGCCUCCUUGGCCGGUCCCGCCCCACCCCCAUCAGGUCAGCCAUGUGCUCUAACUAGAUUCCCUGCCACCUUGGCUACUGCUGUCACCUCCCUGCUGCCCCCACCCUCCAGCACGCAUCCCUCUGCCCAUUAGCACUCCCAAGCAGCCCCAAUCCUUUCAGGGGUGCACGUGCUGCCCCUGCCCGGUGGCUCAGCUGCCCUCACAAGCUCUCUGCACAGCAGUUGUGCGAGAUUUGAUGCUGCUCGAGGGCAGGGUCCCCAUCUGUGUGCCAGCUGCGGGGACCCCAGGGCCACACACUCCAGUAGUUGCUCCUACUUCUGCAAAUGAGCAAUGACCAGGUCCUUGGGCUGGUGCAGAACAGAACAAAGCUUGGGCUAUGUGCCAACCUGGGUGGGGGCACAGCCUGGAGCCCCCUGCACCUUCCCCACCGUCCCCGGGAAGCUAUUUGCAGCUCCCAGAAACAGGAAGUGAGUCAUGGUGCGAGAGGCCAGCGGAUGCUGGGCACCUAGGGCGCGACUGAUGGGCGCCUGCAGGAAGGCCGGGCCACCACCAGGGCAGCAGGAAGGAGGCCUGGAGGAGGACGACGGGGGAGACCCUCUCCCCAGGAAAGCAUGCAGCCUGUGGGGCACCUGCGGAAGCUGGUGAGGUCAUCGCAGACGUGGCCCUGGGCCCAUUGUCUGGCCACACCUGGGGCCGCCCAGGGGACAGGAAAGGCUGGGAGACCAAACCCCCACUUGAAACCCCUCCUGGGCCCCUGCGUGGGCUGGGCCUGCAGUUAUCUCAUUCACUCUGCACGUGGGCGCAAGGGCUCACGGGCUCCAUUUACAGACGGCCAAAGAGAGGCCAGGGCUCGCGAGGCCCGUCGCCAGGGAGGGGCGGCUCGGGCUUGAACCCAGCUCUGUGCGGCCACGGCGCUCUCUGGCUUCCGACCCUCAGGGAGUACAGGAGACUCGGGGUCGAAAUUGCUCCCGAGGCGGCCACCAAGAAGUCUAGGCAGGUUCUGGGCAGGGAGCUACGGACCUGCCAGGCCAGGGUUCUGGGCCCGAGCAUCCUCUGCCUGACAACAGGGCCUCGACUUCCCCACCCUCACUCAAGAGGCUUCGUCGGCGAGGCUGGGUGAAAGCCAGGGCUCUGCAGCUGGGAAGGUCCCCCAAGCUGGGGCUCCUGAGCUGGGAGCUCAGCGUGGUCUCUGCGAGCCAGGGGCCUCUUCCCUGCAUCACAGCCCAGGGUCGGGACGCCACGGUUGGCGCUGGCUGGGUUGGCGCUGGCUGGGUGGCAGGGGCACCACCCGGGAGCCCAUGUGGACCAGGGCCCCACAGGCCCGCGGGGGCAGCCCUGUCAGGGGUGGGAGGACUCGGGCACUUUCGCUUCCUCAGCUGGACCUGUGUCACCCCACCCGCCACAUCUCACUUCCCCCUCAGGGCCAGAGCUGGGGCUGCCUGUCCAGACGGAGCCGGGCGGGCUGCGCAGUGCAGCUGCACAUGCGCUGUGAGCCUGGCCACUGAGGCGCGGGCCCUGGGCCCGGGACCGAGGAGAGGAGGAACCAGGCAGGGCAGACCCCCAGACACAUUGUCGGGUCGCGACUCCUGGGCGGGAGCUUUGAAGUUUUUGUCUUCGUGUCUGAAUUUUCUAAGUCUUGCUCAGAGGACAUGUGUUGUUUGUGUCAAAGAAGAACACGGGGCGGGGGGGGGGCAUCCCAGCCACAUGCUGUGCCUGCGCUGCCAGCCUGACCCCUGGCACCCCAUCUGAGUGUGACUCUGUCCUCUCCCUUCUCCCCCACGGCCCCGACACCCCACCCCAGAUCGAGACCCCUCAGCAGACAGUGAGGACCAGGAGCAGAGACCAGUGUCCCUUUCCAUGCUUGGCUCUGCUGGUGUCCACCAGGACCAUUUUUAGGCCCAGUGCCGGGUGCAGGCUCCUGCAAAAGAGACAGCCGCAGACCAGCACAGUCCGCAGUGGGAGACGGAGUGCAGCCUCCUGAGAGCAGGAAGGUACUGACACCAGUUUAGCCUUGGCUGGGGGGUGGGAGGGGGUGGUCAGGGAAGGCUUCCUGGAGGAGGCGAUGCCUCAUCUCAAAGCGGCACAGGAGCUGCUAAGGGAGGCCGGAGUUGGAGGAGCUCAUCACAUCAGCCUUCCCCUACUGCUCCCCCCCAGGCCCUCCACCUCCCCAGCACUCCCUUUCCUGACCUCCUCUGCUCACAUCCGCCCUCUCCUGCCACCCCCCUGCAGCCCGGAUGGGGAGGGUGAGGAGGGAAUGCAACCCCACAGGCUCUUAUGGACAAGGACAAAGUGCUUGGAAGGAAAAGAAAUAACACGAAUUUCAUUGUCUUCACUCCCAGAUCCUGCCUGAAAAAUGAAAACAAAAUCCAACUCCAGCUGGGGCGGGUUUAGCUGGCAGAGCUUUCAACUAGAGGGACCCAAGGUGGACUUGGGCCCGGAGCCCUGUGGGCAGUCGAGAAGGCCGGCCCUGUCCCCGCAGCAGAGCCGUGGGCAAACACAGUCCCGGUGUGGGUGCUGCGGCGGGGCUGUGCCGCCCACAGUGACCCGGGGCUCCGUGCGUGUGGGUGCUGGUCCCCAGCCUUCUCUCCUGUUCCCGACAGCCCAGGGGCAGGGCGAGCCCCUUUCCGCACAAAACUGAGGGGCGUGGCCACCAGUCCCGGGUUACACAGCAGAGCUGGGACGGAACCUGGGGCUGCCUGACCCCAGAGCCCAUUCGCUAGCCUGGCCCGGGCCACAGUUCACAGGGCUGCAGGAGCAGUUCAUGAGGAGGAAAGGCAGGCAGGGGCACCCCUGGAGCUACCUUGCUCACACCUCCAGGGACGGGAAGCUCACUGCUCACAGUCAACCACUUCCAUGCGUUUCCAUCGUUAGAAGUGCCCACUGCUGCCUCCACCUCUGGCCUGGUCCCUAAUCUCUGCCCAGGAGACUAGGAGGCUUGGAAUGAUGGGACAGGACUGGAGCCACAGCCCAUGGGACACUUCAGCCCCCACAUCCUCAAGCAGACUUUCCAUAAAGAACCUUCCAGCCCCCAGUCAGGUUGGGAUGGGGCGCUGUCUGCUCCACAAGUCCCCUGGAGCAGCCUCCUUGGUAUAACCGCCUCCAUGCCCAGGUGUCCGCGGGCAGCGCCCCUCCCUCCUCCCGCCUGGUCUUGUGCUGGCUCCCUUGGGCCUGGGCUUUGCCCCUGACACAGCCCCAGCUGAGACCAGUAUCCGUGAAGGACACUUGGGGUGUGAAGCCAGGGCCUGCGCCAGCCAGCACCGUGCCUGGUCCCCGUGAGGGCCACACCUGGUCUGUCGGCCCUGGGAGGGCCCUAAAUGGAAGUGGACAUGGCAAGAGGACUGGGAAGGCCGCAGAAGGGGGAGGGUCUGGCCCCCUCCAGCACUAUGGUGCCUUCAGGGGGUCCCUUGGGGUCCCUACUGGACCUCGGAGACCCCUGCUCCCCAAGCCAAUCACAGCCCUGGGCACAAUGUCAGCCCCUGUGGUUGCCAGGCUGAUGGGGGCGUCCCCUCUGCCCACAGUGCUGCCAGGAGGGAGCAGCUAGGCCCGACAGAGGGACUCUGAAGCCCCAGGCACUGAGCUGUGGCUGCAGACGGAGGCCAGCCAGGCUGCCCACCCGCGCAGGGACCUGGGUGCCUCCUUCUUCCCACUUCCCUCUGGGUUUCACCUCAGCAGCCCCUGGUUGGGCCUUUUCCAGAGCCAGGGCCGGAAGCAGGAGCCCGAGUGUUUGCUCAGGCUGGGCUGCCUCAGGCAGGCGAGGCAGAAACAGCCCCAGACGCCUGUGCAAGUGGGGUCAGGCCCCUCCUGGGGAGGAAGGUGCAGGCUGGGGAGCAGGUCUGACUCAGCACAUGGGCAGGCUCAGAGGAUAAGGAAUGGUGCCUGAAGGGCUGCUCGCACUUCCCUCCCCUGGGGCUCAGGCCCAAACCCAUCCCCCUCCCCCACUCCCCUUCCUUUUCCAAGGUCACCCCCUCCCCUUGGAAAUUGAUCCUUGGGAAACCUGCUGGCUCCACCUCCCACACACCCUCCCCUCCCCUGCCCCACCACAGCCCCAGCUGCCGGGACACCCAGCAGUGUCCUCAGGGCUCCCUCACCCCUGCAGCCUGUCCUUGUCCUGGCGGCCCUGGGGUUCCUACUGUCCUCACUCAGGCCCGGUCCCUCUGGCCCAGCGCCCACCCAGGCCCCGCCGCCCGCCCUCAGCAGAAGCAGCCUGUCACGGCUGAACUGUGCCCCCAGCUCAAAACACCCCAGUAAUGUGACUGUAUCUGGAGACGGGGCCUUACAGGAGUGACUAAGUCAAAAGGAGGUGACUCGGGUGAGCACAGGAACAGAUCGGGCACAGACGUGGGCACAUCCGGGCCAGAACACGGCCGGGCGGCAGCCCGCUGCAAACCAAGCAGAGAAGCCUCGGAAGCAACCACCCCUGCGACACUGGCUCUUGGACUUCCAGGCUCCGGGACUGUGAGAAAACACAUUUCUUGUUAAGCCACCAGGUCUGUGGUCUUUUGUUACGAAAGCCUAGCAAAGCAAUACUCCGCCCUGACCCGGAGACGUCUCCAACGUGGGCUCUUUCUACGCCGCCAUGUGCUCUCUGCUCCCUCGACACUGGCCUUCGGGCUGUGGCUUGUGCGCCGAGCGUGCCCCUGCGCCAGGACUUCAGGGCUCCGCACCACUGCUCCCUCCACCUGAGGUGCCUUCUCCCGGGUCCAGGCUGCUGCCUUCAGACCACUCAGGUCUCUCCUCAAAUGUCCCUCUUCAAAGAGACCCUCCCUCCCUGACCAAAGCGCUCCUAAGGGUUAUCCUCCAUCUCUCCCACCGGACAGUGACCUUCCCCGGCUUAGGGGCCGUGUCCCUGUGCUGGAGCAGGCCCCGGCAGGCAGCAGGUGCACGACGAAGAUCUGUCGAAGACAGGUAGGUGUCUGUCUUCGAGGUGAUGACAGACUCCUGUCCUGUCAUCACCUCCCCCAUCUUCCAAACCCAGGCCACGGGGGCUUAGAGGCAGAGCAGGGCCCCAGGUACCCUGUGCUUUCAGGCGGUCCAGCCAUGGGACCCACCUGCCUGCCAGGCUGCAGCCACCGUACCCUCGGCUGCCGCACAGCACCUGGCUUCUCUCCCCUCCCCCGCCCACCUGGCGAUGAUCCUCCCAGGCGCUCCUGAUAUGGGAGGGAGGCCGUGUGGCCUAGCAGGAGGACCAGGCUGAAACCCAGCCCCGUCACUGUUGACGUGGGGGCUCUGUGCCAGCUCCUAUCCCCUCAGGGCUGGACAUCUGGGGAGGACCUGAGCACAGGAAGGUUCCUGCAUGCUCAGCCUGGGGCUGGUGGCCGGGGCGUCCGAGCCACCCUGUCUCGUGCAGGCUGGCUCUGGGCGGAGGCCCCUGCCUGCACCUCAGCAUGGGCAGCAGGACGAGGAAGGGCUGGGAAGCCACCAGGCUCCCGGGGAGAGAGGGUGUCUCUGGCACUUGCUCUUUCCUUUCCCAACACUCUCGUGGGACAACUCCACUCCCACUUGAAUGGCUAAAAUAAAAAAGACAACACGAAGCCUCGGUGAGGACGUGGAGCAACAGGACUCUCCUACACUAGGGGUGGGGAGAGUGAAAUGGUGCAGCCACUCUGGAAAACCAUUUAGCAGUUUCUUUUAGAAAAGUUCCACAUUGAGCCACCCAGCAAUCCCACAGCGAGGUGCUACAGUGAGAUGCAAACCCAGGCCCAUAUGAACCUGUACACGAAUGUUUGUCAAAGCUCCAAUCGCGAUUGCCUAAACUGGAGAGAGCCAAGUUCCCUUGGCGGAGGAGCAGUAGGCAAUGGAGGCACGUCCAUACGGUGGGCUCCAGAGGACCAGCUGUUGUACACAAAACACCGUGGACGAAUCGCAAAGCCACAUUCAGAAGGCGCCACACAGUGUGAUUCUGUUUAUAUGACAUUCUGGAAGACGCAAAGCUAUAGGGACAAGAAACAGUCAGUGGUUGUCAGGGGCUGGGGCUGGGUGCAGGAGACUGCGAAGGGGACCUAGUUUCCAGAAACUAGGGAAGUUUCUAGAAGCUGGGAAUAUUCCAUGUCUUUUAUUUUUUGCAGAGAUGGGGUCUCACUAUGUUGUUCGGACUGGUCUCAGUCGAACUCCUGAGCCCGUCUUGGGGACAUUAGAGGCCUGAGCCACCACGCUGGCUGUCCGUGUUUUGUUCAGAGUUUGCAGAGUAUAAUCGUGUAAAAAGUCAUCAGACUUCAUAUUUGAGAUCUGUCCAUUUCCCUUGAUAUGAAUUAUAUCAAUAUCUCAAUGAAGAAGAGUCUUUAUUAAGGCACACCAGUCCCUGCACUAGCCAGCCUGUUCCAAGCCCCAAGGCAACAGCACCAGGACAGAGGUGGGUCACGGCGGACCCCUGGCCUCUAGGACAGCCAGGGUGGGAUGCACCCAGGGCAUGGGUGCUCCAGACACGACCCAGGGAGGGUACCUGGGCCUGGCCCAGGCUCCAGACUCCCCCGCCUCGUCUUAUCGAGAAAGGCCUGAAAGGGGGCAGGAAAAGCCCCCUGUCUGUCCUGCUCUGCUCUGGCUCCACUUGCUGUCCCCGGGUCCAUGGAGGUAGGAGACUCUGAUGUGGGAGGGAGGUGAGGGGGCCCUUGGGUGGCGUGGCGGAGUCCUCCAGCCAGUGCGUGGGGGGCUCCGAGGCUGGCUUACCUGGGCUCAGGUCCUGGGCCUCGGCUGCCCCUGCUGUGCGGACCCCUGCCCCUUGGCCCUGGCCCUGUUCUGCAGGGUAGUGACUGGCCAGCAUGCUUUCCUCUGGUCCCGCUCAACCUGCGCAGCAGGCAGCCCCCAGAGUGCAGGGCCACCGCAGUCCCCGCCUUUCCCCACCUUGGGGCCUCAAGCACCCCGGAAACUGCGGAUGCCUUGGGAGGGGGCAUUUUCUCGUGCACGGUCACUAGGAGCAACGCUGGGGACUAAAAGAACCAUGUGCAACAGAGGGAAGGGCCUGAGAAAGGGUGCAAUGUUUUAAAAAUUUUCUCUUGAAAAUCACCCCCACUCUUUUUGAGAACUAAAACCUGCAUUCCUGCCCAAGGCCAGUGAUCAGAGGGCAGGGCAGUGCCCUUUGUUCUUGGUACCACAGGAGAACGCUCAAGGGAUUUGUCUGGUUGGUUGGAUGUCUCGAUUUCUCACUGUGACAGAGAUGGGACAGAUCAGGACCAACAGCUAUAAUUAAACAGCAAUAGCCUGAAGCGCUCCGUUCAAAAGCUCUGUAUUUCUGCUUCCAGAUAGGAAAAUGAUACACCCCCUCAUCUGCCAGCAAAUUAAUAAACCUCCCUUUCCGUCUCCUAAAACCACUUGUCCUCGUUCUUCUGGUGGGGCUCUGGGGACAAGCGCAGAACUCUCGGUAACACAAGGACAAACACUC